rnacentral:rRNA from 1 species
UACAGAGGGGGCAAGCGUUGUUCGGAAUUACUGGGCGUAAAGGGCUCGUAGGCGGUCCGUCACGUCGGGAGUGAAAACUCGGGGCUCAACCCCGAGCCUGCUUCCGAUACGGGCGGACUAGAGGUAGGUAGGGGAGAACGGAAUUCCUGGUGUAGCGGUGGAAUGCGCAGAUAUCAGGAGGAACACCGGUGGCGAAGGCGGUUCUCUGGGCCUUACCUGACGCUGAGGAGCGAAAGCGUGGGGAGCGAACAGG